rnacentral:tRNA from 1 species
UGCUUGGGUAGCUCAGUUGGUAGAGCACUUGCCCUCGGAAGGCAAAGGUCCCGAGUUCGAGUCUCGGUGCGGCAC